UUGACUCUGUUUAGGUCGCUGUGGGGUUAUUGCACGCUUGGGAUUACUACACGUACACACACACACACACACACACACACUACACACACACACACACACACACACACACACACACACACACACACACACACACACACACACAUCCAGAUGUACACUACACGUGUGUCUUUAUGUUGUUCUAGUUUCAUCUUUUAUAUCCAAUGUCACAACACUACUCAUGGACACUACAAACACUACACACACACUACACACACACUACACACACACUACACAAACACUACACACACACUACACACACACUACACACUACACACACACUACACACACACUACACAAACACUACACACACACUACACACACACACACUACACAAACACUACACACACACUACACACACACUACACAAACACUACACACACACUACACACACACUACACACACACUACACAAACACUACACACACACUACACACACACUACACACUACACACACACUACACUACACAAACACUACACAAACACUACACACACACUACACACACACUACACAAACACUACACACUACACAAACACUACACACACACUACACACACACUACACACACACUACAAAAACACUACACACACACUACACAAACACUACACACACACUACACACUACACACACACUACACAAACACUACACACACACUACACAAACACUACACACACACUACACACACACUACACACACACUACACACUACACACACACUACACAAACACUACACACACACUACACAAACACACACUACACAAACACUACACAAACACUACACAAACACUACACACACACUACAAACACACUACACAAACACUACACAAACACUACACACACACUACACAAACACUACACAAACACUACACACUACACACUACACACUACACACUACACACUACACAAACACACACUACACACACACACUACACACUACACAACACUACACACUACACAAACACUACACACACACACACACACUACACACACUACACACACACUACACACUACACACACACUACACACACACUACACACACACUACACACACACUACACACACACACUACACACACACAAACACUACACACUACACAAACACAAACACUAUUC
rnacentral:lncRNA from 1 species